ensembl:misc_RNA Metazoa_SRP Metazoan signal recognition particle RNA
GCUGGGUGUGGUGGCUCACCCCUGUAAUCCCAGCACUUUGGGAGGCUGAGGUGGGAGGAUCACCAGAGGUCAGGAGUUUGGGACCAGCCUGGCCAACAUGGUGAAACCUCAUCUCUA